CACGUAGUUAGCCGGUGCUUAUUCUUCCGGUACCGUCAUCCCCCGACUGUAUUAGAGCCAAGGAUUUCUUUCCGGACAAAAGUGCUUUACAACCCGAAGGCCUUCUUCACACACGCGGCAUUGCUGGAUCAGGCUUUCGCCCAUUGUCCAAAAUUCCCCA
rnacentral:rRNA from 1 species